CUCACGGGGUAAGAGAAGGAAGAUGAUAUCUCGUAACUGUUCAUCAUCAUCAUCAUUGUCUUCAUCCGGUUCAGCUACACUGCCUGCCUCGGGGCCCAGCAAAGGCGUUCACAUUAAAAAGAGGCAAUGCUGUGAGCUGAGGCUGAUGCCAUCCAUGGGAGAGUGUGCCAGGAUCCAGCAGAAACAGGGUCUCUGAUUGGACUUAUGUGGAUGCCAAGAGAGAAGAGAGCGCAUCCUUAGGGCCGACUGAUACUCUGGGUCAGCAUCAACUGCCGAGAAGAUUUUAUCUACACAUUCAAAAUGAUAGGAGGCCUUCAGAAUUAAGAGUGUUACCCAACAGCAUUCAGGAGACGAUGGAUUCCUGUUAGGAAAAUGGGAUGUUGAAAAUAUUUAGCUUUGUUUUAAAGUUCACAGGAGAAUGUAUUUGUUUAAUGGUGUCUGUCUCAUCCAAAAUACAUUUCCGUAAGAAUGUCUGCCACCAACAGACUUGGAAGCUGAGGGCCUAGGUGACUGCAUUUUUAGAGUGUAGUCACCAUUGCUGGCCACAGCUGAUGGUCCCGUGGGAGGAGUCAAUGCCAACUGCAUUGGGAAUACCGUGAAACCAGCAUGGUCCUCUGGGGGAGUUAGAAUGCAAGGUCCCAAAAAAUGCAGGUUGCAAUUUUGUCAGGGGAGUCAAAGCCAGAGCAAACUAGAAUUAAGGAGAAACAAGAACUACAAGUAAUAACAGCAAAAAGAGCAAAAAUAAUAGUAGUUCACACUUACGAAAUGCUCAGACUGUGCCAAGCA
rnacentral:lncRNA from 1 species